rnacentral:rRNA from 1 species
UCUAGAAGAAAAAAGGUAAUACUUAUAAAGGAAACCUUCAUCUUUUGGCGGCCUGAUUUCUUUUUAGAGGAACUCGUCUCAUAAUCGACAAUCCUCGCUAUUUCUAACUUUUUCUUUUCUCUUAUACCGCCGUCUUUAGAAUAAUUUACCUUUUUCAUAAAAAAAGAAUUUUAUCAAGUCAGGUAAAGGUGAGGAUUAUGAAAAAGAGAAGAUAAGUUACUUAUAAACGUUAUUCCUGGAUUCAUUAUCAACAUUUUCAUGAAACAGGAUUUAAAAGUAAUUCUUUACUAAUAUUUUAUAAUGAACUAGUAAAAUUAGGUGU